rnacentral:rRNA from 1 species
GACGAACGCUGGCGGUGUGCUUAACACAUGCAAGUCGAACGGUAAGGCCCUUUCGGGGGUUCACGAGUGGCGAACGGGUGAGUAACACGUGAGUAACCUGCCCUCAUCUCUGGGAUAACAGUCGGAAACGGUUGCUAAUACUGGAUAUGAGCUUGCAAGGCAUCUUGUGGGUUGGAAAGAUUUUUUUUGGUUGGGGAUGGACUCGCGGCCUAUCAGCUUGUUGGUGGGGUAGUGGCUCAACAAGGCUUCGACGGGUAGCCGGCCUGAGAGGGCGACCGGCCACAUUGGGACUGAGAUACGGCCCAAACUCCUACGGGAGGCAGCAGUGGGGAAUAUUGCACAAUGGACGGAAGUCUGAUGCAGCAACGCCGCGUGCGGGAUGACGGCCUUCGGGUUGUAAACCGCUUUCAAUUGUGACGAAGCUUUUUUGUGACGGUAGCAGUAGAAGAAGCACCGGCUAACUACGUG